rnacentral:rRNA from 1 species
UGGCGGCGUGGAUUAGGCAUGCAAGUCGAGCGAGAACCGGUUUCGGCCGUUCCCAGCGGCGAACGGCGUAGUAAUGCAUCGGAACGUACCCUCUGGUCGGGGAUAGCUACGGGAAACUGUAGGUAAUACCCGAUGAUCUCUGCGGAGCAAAGGUGAGAUUCCGCCGGAGGAGCGGCUGAUGUGAUAUUAGCUAGUUGGUGGGGUAAUGGCCUACCAAGGCGAUGAUGUCUAGGGGGUGUGAGAGCAUGGCCCCCACGACCGGAACUGAAAUACUGUCCGGACACCUACGGGUGGCUGCAGUCGAGAAUCUUCCGCAAUGGACGAAAGUCUGACGGAGCGACGCCGCGUGCGGGAUGAAGGCCCUUGGGUUGUAAACCGCUGUCAGAGGGGAUGAAAUCUUCGGAGGUACUCCUCCGAAGUUGACAGAGCCUCAAAGGAAGCACGGGCUAAGUACGUGCCAGCAGCCGCGGUAACACGUACUGUGCGAACGUUAUUCGGAAUCACUGGGCUUAAAGGGUGCGUAGGCGGCGAAUCAAGUCAGGUGUGAAAGGCCUGAGCUCAACUGAGGCAUUGCGCUUGAAACUGAUUUGCUUGAGUAUCCCAGGGGUGUGCGGAACUGCCAGUGGAGCGGUGAAAUGUGUUGAUAUUGGCAGGAACACCGGAGGCGAAAGCGGCACACUGGGGGAUAACUGACGCUGAGGCACGAAAGCCAGGGGAGCGAACGGGAUUAGAUACCCCGGUAGUCCUGGCUGUAAAC